rnacentral:rRNA from 1 species
AUUGAACGCUGGCGGAAUGCUUUACACAUGCAAGUCGAGCGGCAGCGCGGGGCAACCUGGCGGCGAGCGGCGAACGGGUGAGUAACACAUCGGAACGUGCCCAGACGUGGGGGGAUAGCCCGGCGAAAGCCGGAUUAAUACCGCAUACGAUCUGAGGAUGAAAGCGGGGGAUCGCAAGACCUCGCGCGUUUGGAGCGGCCGAUGGCAGAUUAGGUAGUUGGUGGGGUAAAGGCUUACCAAGCCUGCGAUCUGUAGCUGGUCUGAGAGGACGACCAGCCACACUGGAACUGAGACACGGUCCAGACUCCUACGGGAGGCAGCAGUGGGGAAUUUUGGACAAUGGGCGCAAGCCUGAUCCAGCCAUUCCGCGUGAGUGAAGAAGGCCUUCGGGUUGGUUAAAG